ACUUCGGGCCUCGAAGCUCCGGCCUCCUCCAGGGGCCUGGGCAGGGCUGGGGCACAGGGGGGCUCUGGAGGCCUCGGGGGACCAUGUGGGGCCCAGGCACUGGUUCCUUAGGGCCAGUGGGAGACAUGGAUGGUUGUGGAGGGGGAGCAGGUCGCAACGGCCCUGAGCUGGGGCUCCGCGGCCCAGGCCUGACCCUGCCCCCAAGGAACGCAGCAGUGAUCAAAGGGGCAUCCGGUUUCAGCCGGCCUCCUCCGGCCUCCGAGGAUUUCCUCUCCCGGUUUAACCCUUGUCUCCCCGAGGGCCCUGCUUCUCCCCAGCCGCGGCCCCUCGCUCUACUCGCUUCCCUGUUUGUGCUGAGGGAUUUCCUUCCAGCUUUGGGUUCCGUGGUAGCCGUGAAGCUUCCUUUGCAGUCCGCGCUUCCCUCUGGGGUCGGGCAGGGAGGCACCCGGGCCUUCGGGGGACAAAAAAGGACCAGGACCCGGCGGCCUUGGGAAGAAUCUCACCAAGAUGCCCAGGCUGGGCUUGAACUUGUGAUCUUCCUGCCUCAGCCUCCCGAAUAGCUAGCGUGACGGGCAUGUCAUGCUAUUGAAGUUUUGCUUGAGCGUCAACACGGGGGCACAUCUGGGCUGCCUUUGUCUUCCUCCCUGUGGGAGGAAGUCCACCUCAGGUCCUCCGUUGCCGUUGCCUGAGAUGGUCGCUGUGCAGAGGAAAGGCUUGGCCUUGAACUCCUGAAUGUGAGCGAUCCUCCUGCUUCAGCCUACCAAUGACAGGCGCGUGUCACCACGCCCAGAUGCCACUUCAGCUGACCUUUGUGACCAGGGUUCAGGGUCACCAGGCGUGGCUGCAGACCGCCAACCCCGUCUCUCGAGGGCAGGAGGAGGGACGGCGAAGCAGGUGGUGACCCAGGUCCACCGCGAUGUCCCUGCCUGGGAGCAGCUGGCCACGGACCGAACCCUCUGCAGCUGUGAGCCCCGUGUACCUCUCCUGUUCUGUGUUGCUUUUCUUGGGUAUUUGAACGGUGACCCCAGUGAAGUGUCCCUGUCCUGACCCCAGACCUCGGAUGGGGUCUGGUUAGAAACAGAGUCCCUGUAGACGGAAUUAGUGGUGGAUCUGGAGAGGAGACCCUCCUGCCUCGGCCUCCUGAUCCCAACAACAGCAGCAUCCUGAGAGACAGAAGAGAGGAUGCAGACACAGAGGAAAAGCUGCUCGGACAUGGAGGCAGAGGCAGGAGGGUCUCCCCUGCAGCCCGUGGAGGGAGUUUUCCCUGCCCCAUCCCUGCGGGACCCAGCGCUGCCCUGGGAACAGCUGAUGUGCAGCUGGGCUGGCCGCACAUAACUUGGCUUAUUUUAGGCCCCGAGCUCGGGACCAGGAAGUCUCAGGCAUGCGAGGCAUCCGGCUGACUGGCCGUGCCGUGCCGCCCGCCUGACCGCUAACAGGUGCGCGUUUCCCCAAUCAGCCAAUGUGGGGGUGAUUCGGGGGCCGCCUGGGGGGCUGUACCCCAGCCCUUGCAACGCUUUGAAUUUUCAGCCAGGGUAUUGCUAAGUUGUUCAGGCUGGGCUCAAACUUGCAAUUCUCCUGCCUCAGCCUCCCCGGAUGCUGGGAUGACACGUGCGCACUGCCCCCCUAAGUUUAGACACAGCGCGUCGGGGGGAGGUAGCAAACUUUCAAAGAGCCAGUUCUGCGUCUGGCACCUGGUUCACGCAUGCUGGCCGUGGGAGUGAAGGAACUUGUGCCCUGUGGCCCUAAUCUGGAGGUGCCGCUGAAGGAAAUGACCCAUGACACAGCUCGAGCCAAAGUCUGUGCAGUUCUCUGUGGAACUGAGCUGACAUUUCCUAUGAUGGGAACGGCUGUGGAGUCGAAACUGAGUGACAGGGUGGGUGAUGCGCUGCGGAGCCCUUUCUGACCCACUUAGACCCAUGCCGGCUGCGCGGCUGCAAGCAAUUUCAGCUCCAGCCGCACACACAGACGCAGGCAGGCGGCCGGUGCCCUGGGACUCGGCUGUCACCCUCGGGGAUCCGAGGGCCUGCAGGCGGU